rnacentral:lncRNA from 1 species
AUGGCUCCCGCCAUGCAGUCUACCGAGCUCCAGUUCGCACAGCGGCUGGCCUCCAGUGAGAAGGGCGUCCGCGACCGCGCCGUGAGGAAACUGCGGCAGUAUCUCAGCGCAAGGACGCAGAGCGACACAGGAAGUUUCAGUCAGGAAGAACUCCUAAAAAUAUGGAAAGGACUCUUCUACUGCAUGUGGGUGCAGGACGAACCCCUUCUGCAGGUAACGCAGUCCCCAGCCAUGGCCCUGGACCUUUGACGAUGGAUAAGAGACUUGACUGUUUACGUCCCGCCAAUCUGCUGCCAUCCCCAAACAGCUGGAAGUAAAUGCUUCAAGGAGCCAUUGUCUCAGCUCUUGUCCCCUCAGGAAGGGGCGGCGGGCACUUAGGCUGUGCUUUCAGACAUACCGGACAC